UUCUACCUUGCUCAGUCGACAGAGCACAAGACUCUUAAUCUCAAGGUCACGGGUUCAAGUCCCACAUUGCGCAGAAG